rnacentral:lncRNA from 1 species
UGACGGGGGUGUUAUUGAAGUUAAUCGGACGACCAGUGUAAUGGGUUUGCGUGGGAUCGGAAGUCUGUUGAGUGGAAAAACUAAGAGGAAAGUAAAGUUUCAAGAACGGCUAGGAGGCACGAUAUCUAGUGGUCGUAGGAACAGAGUUGGGGUGGAACAGAGGGAUGCUAAAUUUCUAUGGCAACUGAACUUAGGGUUCGAGAGAGAGAACCGAAAGCAGAGUUUCAAAUGCAGACAAAAGUGAUUGAUGAGCAGAGAUAUUUAGAGCUCGUUUUGCAAGAAUUUUGAAAAAUCAAAAGGAGCUUUUGAAGUUCAAAAAUUACUUUUGGAUCCGUUUAACUAAUUUUGUUGAAGUGCUUUUGAUGGUUAGGAGAGCUUUUAGAUGAAGUUGGUUCAAUGUGACUUCCUUUAAAAAUACUUCCGAAAUAAAAAAUACUUUUAAAUGUUAGUUUUCAAACAAAAAUUAAAAUAGCUU